GAUGAACGCUGGCGGCGUGCCUGACCUAUGCAAGUCGAACGUGCUCCUCUCUAGCCUUUGGCUGGAGAGGGGAAAGUGGCGUCCGGGUGAGUAACACGUAGGUGACCUACCCCGAAGAGGGGGAUAACCACCGGAAACAGUGGCUAAUACCCCAUGUGAUGCGGUAUUCGCUUACCGUAUUAAAGGUUGAGCUUAGGCUCUUCUGCUUCGGGAGGGGCCUGCGGCCGAUUAGCUAGUUGGUGAGGUAAUGGCUCACCAAGGCGAUGAUCGGUAGCUGGUCUGAGAGGACGAUCAGCCACACUGGCACUGACACACGGGCCAGACUCCUACGGGAGGCAGCAAGGAGGAAUAUUGCGCAAUGGGCGAAAGCCUGACGCAGCAACGCCGCGUGGGUGAUGAAGGCCUUCGGGUUGUAAAACCCUUUUCUGGGGGAAGAGGAAGGACGGUACCUCAGGAAUAAGCCUCGGCUAACUACGUG
rnacentral:rRNA from 1 species